CAUGCUCACAGUGUCCCAUCGUGUCU
rnacentral:piRNA from 1 species